CCGAGGUCAAAGGCACAGAGAGACAGCGUAAACUAGGACAAGCCGGGGUCUGGUACACGGAAAACAGCAAGCCGGCAAACAGUACAGAUAAGGAUAAAGCGAAAACGAAGUCAGAAUACGAAGCCAAAGUUAAUACGAGAAAACACAACUGAACACCACAAGCGCUAAAGGGAACUGAAACAGAAACCACGAUAGGGCAACGAGCUAAGGGAAAAAGGUAAGUUUAAAUAGCUUUAAAGCGAAAGUGAUUGGCUCCUGUCACUUCCAC
rnacentral:lncRNA from 1 species